AGGAAUUAGGCAAAAUAAUUAUAUUCACCUGUUUAUCAAAAACAUGUCUUUUUGAAAAUAAUUUAAGGUCAGUUCUGCUCAAUGAAAAAAUUAAAUAGCUGCAGUAUUUUGACUGUACAAAGGUAGCAUAAUAAUUUGUCUUUUAAUUGAAGGCUAGAAUGAAUGAAUUAAUGAAAUAUAAACUGUCUCAAUUUUAUAAAAUAAAUUUAAAUUUUAAGUUAAAAUGCUUAAAUAUAUUUGAGGGACGAUAAGACCCUAUAGAAUUUUAUAUAAUUAAAUAAUUAAUAAAUUAUUAAUUAUAUUUAAUUGGGAGGAUUUUUAAAUUUAAUAAACUUUAAAAUUUUUAAAUAUUGAUUAAUAGAAUAAAUUGUAAUAUAAAUUAAUAAAUAAAGAAUAAAUUACCUUAGGGAUAACAGCGUAAUAUUUUUAGAAAGAUCAAAUUGAAAAAAAUGUUUGCGACCUCGAUGUUGAAUUAAAAUAAAUUAUAAAUGUAGGUGUUUAUAAAUUUAGUCUGUUCGACUUUUAAAAUUUUACAUGAUUUGAGUUCAGAUCGACGUGAGUCAGAUUGGUUUCUAUCUUCAAAAAAAUAAAAGAUUUUUGUACGAAAGGACUAAAUUUUUAAAAUAAUUUUUUAAAUUAUAAUAAAUAA
rnacentral:rRNA from 1 species